rfam:Microgenomates (Amesbacteria) bacterium GW2011_GWC1_47_15 TX86_C0021, whole genome shotgun sequence.
AAUCCAGUUGAUCCUGCUGGCGGCUGCGGCUAUUUGGUUUGCAAUUAGACAUGCAAGUCUGUUGAAAGACGGCGAACUGCUCAGUAACACGUAGCUAACCUGCCCUAAUGCUUGGGAUACCCUCGGGAAACUGAGAUUAAACCCGAAUAGGAAAUAAUUUCUGGAAUGAUUUAUUUCUCAAAGUUAGGAUGGGGCUGCGGCUGAUUAGCUUGUUGGCGGGGUAAUAGCCCACCAAGGCAUUUAUCAGUAAGGGCUCUUAGCGGAGAAGCCCUGAGAGGGAGUCUGAGACACUACUCCCAGCCCUACGGGGUGCAGCAGUUAGGAAAAUUCUGCAAUGUACGAAAGUAUGACAGAGCAAGCCAAAGUGAUUCUCUAAUAAUUGAGAAUCUUUUAUGCGAUGUAAAAAGUCGCAUGAAUAAGGACUGGGCAAGACUGGUGCCAGCCGCCGCGGUAAUCCCAGCGGUCCAAGUCGCAGCCACUUUUAUUGGGUCUAAAACAUCCGUAGCUUGCCUCGUCAGUCUUUUGUGAAAUCUGGCCUCUUAAGGGUCAGGCGAGCAAGAGAUACUGCGAGGCUAGAGAUCGGAAGACGUAAGAAGUACGCAUAGGGUAGCGGUCAAAUGUGUUGAUCCUUUGUGGACUAACGAUAGCGAAGGCAUCUUACGAGAACGAAUCUGACAGUGAGGGAUGAAGGCUAGGGGCGCAAAACGGAUUAGAUACCCGUGUAGUCCUAGCAGUAAACACUGCACACUAAACAUCGGUCCCUCCUCGAGAGGUAUCGGUGCUGUAGGGAAGCCGGAGAGUGUGCUACCUGGGAAGUAUAGUCGCAAGGCCGAAACUUAAAGGAAUAGGCGGCGGGAUACUACAACCAGUGACGCGUGCGGUGAAUAAAAUUGCCGCAGUAAAAUUUGGCUAUAUGCGGGAACGUCUCGUUAAGCGUUCAGUAGGAAGUUAUCGUCGUGAGAUGAUAAUGAUUACUAAAAAUCUGAACGAUAGAGAAAAUCCGCAGGGAAGGCUAGAAAUUAUGUUAUCACUUAGAAAAGAUAACAAGCAGAAAGGUUUAAAUAAUGUUAAUCUUCUAAGAUUUCAUGGAAAGAUUUUACGAAAUCACCAAAAAAUUUGAAGCAGGUCACACACUAGAGAUAGGAGUGCUUAGAUGUUCACAUAACGAAGUUCAUGUCUUUUUCGAUGCAGGAACACGAUAUGAAAAUUGUUUCAAGACAGGAAGGAAAUUAUCAAGUAACUCAUAACUUUCUUGGAAGAUCUCCUUUAGGAAGUUUCCAUCAGGAUUCUGAUGGACAUUUAAUAUCCGAUUCUCCUUCAUUAAUUUUAGAAGAAAUGGAUGAACAUCAUGCUAAGCAAUAUGAAAGUGAAAUUGCAGUUAGAAGAAUUGCACGACAACAUUUAUAAUAAUUAAUUUUCUAGAACCCUCAGAGACUACAUGCCAGACACUAACAAAUAAUUUCAGUUAGUGAAGAUAUAGUCCGAUCCUUACAGAGAUGUAAGGAGUUGCGCAGAAAUGCGUAACCACUGUUACAGUAAAAUUUAAAUAAUCCAAAUACUAACGAAUAGUAUUAGAUGGACCAGCCGGGAAUCAAACCCGGAUUUCAAGGGGAUCAGCCAAGAGUCUUAAUCAUUAGACGACUGGCCCAUCUGACUUUUUUUAAAUUUCUAAAUUAUUUAAAUCUAUUUUAAAAAUAACAGUUGUAACAUAAAUGUCAAUUAGAUUCUACACCGUGAACCUCACCAGGGUCGACAGCAGAAUGAAGGUCAGUCUAAAGGGCUUACCUGACACGCUGAGAGGGGCCGCAAGGCCGACGUCAGCCUGUGUCGUGAGAUGAUCUGUUAAAUCAGAUAACAGGCGAGACCCGCGUGUACAUUUACUUUGUACAAUGUACAGACUGCCUUGGUAACAAGGAGGAAGGUGCGGGCUACGUUAGGUUAGUUCAGCCCGAAUGCCCUGGGCUACACGCGCGCGGCAAUGAUACAUCCAAAGGGUCGCAACUCCGAGAGGAGAAGCUAAUCUCAUAAACUGUAUCCUAGUUCAGAUUGAGGAUUGCAACUCAUCCUCAUGACGCUGGAAUUGGUAGUAAUCGGAUUUUAUCAGAGUCCAGUGAAUAAGUCAAUGUCCCGUGCACUCACCGAAAGAAAUGUGCUUGGCAGCUUUAUUAUCUAGC